UCAUUGGUGAUCAAGGAAAGGUGCAGGGCGAGAUAAUGCAUGUGGUAUAUGUCUGAGAGAAGGAUGGGUGUCUCCACGGCGGGUGGUCAAUGGUCAGGAAUCUGGUGGUGGUCAGAGUCGUCUCAAGUGGAAGACUCGUAAUGAUGGUAUGGGCAGUUGAGAACUUCUGGGUUGAAAUAUGGGUAGAAGAUUGUCGAGUAGCCAACUCCCGGGCUGGGAUGUGUAUUCUUGCUUGGAUUUUGAGCAGUAGUGGAAAGGGUUUCGGAGGAUCAUCAGUGUGUUCUGAAGGGUUAGCGCCUUCCUUGUAUUCCAAUUGAGUGUUUGGAUGCACUGAAGUUGCGCAUUGAGUGAAAUAGGAAAUUAUUAUGGGAUUCAGAGGAAAUGUAUUGUUGUAUGUGUAUGGUGCUGGGANAGAUUUGUGCAAGAGCGGUUAGGGGUUGGAUACAGAAACCUGCGGCUUGAAUUCAUGAGAUCAGGGUCAUUGGUGAUCAAGGAAAGGUGCAGGGCGAGAUAAUGCAUGUGGUAUAUGUCUGAGAGAAGGAUGGGUGUCUCCACGGCGGGUGGUCAAUGGUCAGGAAUCUGGUGGUGGUCAGAGUCGUUUCAAGUAGAAGACUCGUAAUGAUGGUAUGGGCAGUUGAGAACUUCUGGGUUGAAAUAUGGGUAGAAGAUUGUCGAGUAGCCAGCUCCCGGGUUGGGAUGUGUAUUCUCGCUUGGAUCUUGAGCAGUAGUGGAAAGGGUUUCGGAAGAUCAUCAGUCUGUUCUGAAGGGUUAGCGUCUUCCUUGUAUUCGAAUUGAGUGUUUGGAUGCACUGAAGUUGCGCAUCGAGUGAUAUAAGAAAUUAUUAUGGGAUUCAGAGGAAAUGUAUUGUUGUAUGUGUAUGGUGCUGGAAGUAAGGGAAUCAGUGGU
rnacentral:lncRNA from 1 species